rnacentral:rRNA from 1 species
GUAACCUGCCCUUGAAGUAGGGGAUAACACUUGGAAACAGGUGCUAAUACCGUAUAACAACCAAAACCACCUGGUUUUGGUUUAAAAGACGGCUUCGGCUGUCACUUUAGGAUGGACCCGCGGCGUAUUAGCUUGUUGGUAAGGUAACGGCCUACCAAGGCGAUGAUACGUAGCCGACCUGAGAGGGUAAUCGGCCACAUUGGGACUGAGACACGGCCCAAACUCCUACGGGAGGCAGCAGUAGGGAAUCUUCCACAAUGGACGAAAGUCUGAUGGAGCAACGCCACGUGAGUGAUGAAGGGUUUCGGCUCGUAAAACUCUGUUGUUGGAGAAGAACAGGUGUCAGAGUAACUGUUGACAUCCUGACGGUAUCCAACCAGAAAGCCACGGCUAACUACGUGCCAGCAGCCGCGGUAAUACGUAGGUGGCAAGCGUUGUCCGGAUUUAUUGGGCGUAAAGCGAGCGCAGGCGGUUUUUUAGGUCUGAUGUGAAAGCCUUCGGCUUAACCGGAGAAGUGCAUCGGAAACCGGGAGACUUGAGUGCAGAAGAGGACAGUGGAACUCCAUGUGUAGCGGUGAAAUGCGUAGAUAUAUGGAAGAACACCAGUGGCGAAGGCGGCUGUCUGGUCUGUAACUGACGCUGAGGCUCGAAAGCAUGGGUAGCGAACAGGAUUAGAUACCCUGGUAGUCCAUG